ensembl:lncRNA
CUUCUGCCUAGCAACAUCUCAGCCAAUGAGAGACUGUUACAACUCAGCCAGUGAAAAGUCACUAUACUUCAAACUCCCGGUUUCCUCCAAUGGACUUUUUGUUUGUAACCCAGGCAACUUCCCCUUCUCUAUAAAAGAGUCCCCCCGGGCUUGUUUUACCACACUUGCUUGUGGUUCACUGUAAUCGUGCGUCCUGAAUUGUUUGCUGCUCUCAAAUAAACACAUUUUGUUGGUAAAAUAACUUGCUGUUUUACGAUUACACUGAAGUCUCAUAGAGCUCCAGAGAAGAACACUGACAACUCCAAGUGUGGCCUAGUCCACGGAGCUCAUGCUUUCUCGCUGACCCUGAAAUCUGAGGUUUGCAUCUGCUAAUCCAGAACUCCCAGUUAACCCCCGCCUCACUCCCCUACUCCUUGGCAGCCAUAAGUUUACCGUGUGGUGUUUGUUUCGUAGGUAAGUUCAUUUGUGUCAUAUUUUAGAGUCCACAUAAAAUGAUAUCAUAUGGUAUUUGUCUUUCUGACUUCACUAAGUAUGAUCAUCUGUAGGUCCAUCCGUGUUGCUGCAAAUGCCAUUAUUUCAUUCUUUUUAUGACCGAGUAGUAUUCCAUUGCAUCUGUGUACUGCAGCUUCCUUAUCGAUUCACCCAUGGAUGGACGUUUAGGUUGCUCCCUUGUCUUGGCUUUUGUAAACAGUGCUGCAGUGAAUAUUGGGGUCCAGGUAUCCUUUCAAAUUGAAGUCUUCUCUGGAUAUAUGCCCAGGAGUGGAAUUACAGGAUCUGGGCUUCCCUGGUGGUUCAGACAUAAAGAACGUGCCUGCAGUGUAGGAGACCCAGAUUUGAACCCUGUGUUGGGAAGAGCCCCGAGAGAAGGGAAUGACUACCCACUCCAAUAUUCUUGCCUGGAGAAUUCCAUGGACAGAGGAGCCUGGUGGGCUACAGUCCACAGGAUAACAAAGAGUUGUACACAGCUGAGCAACUAACACUUUCACACUGCUUCAUGGUAACUCUAUUUUUUCGUUUUUAAAGGAACCACUGUAUUAUUCUCCAUAGUUCUGUAUCAAUUAACACUCCCACCAGCAGUAUAAGUAGUCUCCACACACUUUCCAGCAUUUGUUAGUUGUAGACUUUUUGAUG